rnacentral:rRNA from 1 species
UACCAGCACCCCGAGUGGUUGGGACGAUUAUUGGGCCUAAAGCAUCCGUAGCCGGUCCUACAAGUCUUCCGUUAAAUCCACCUGCUUAACAGAUGGGCUGCGGAAGAUACUAUAGGGCUAGGAGGCGGGAGAGGCAAGCGGUACUCAGUGGGUAGGGGUAAAAUCCUUUGAUCCAUUGAAGACCACCAGUGGCGAAGGCGGCUUGCCAGAACGCGCUCGACGGUGAGGGAUGAAAGCUGGGGGAGCAAACCGG